GCGUGGAAGCAACUAAAACGAGCGUGGACUAUGCUCUGAAUAGAACCACUAAUUAGGGUUUAAAUCAGAGUUUUAAGUUUAAACGAAACCAAACAUGGCGAGUGAAGAGCUCCUCAAGCCCUUCUACAAGAGAGCUAUCGAGGCCGAGGAACGGUUGUCCAGACUAGAAGCCGUUCUAGCAGGCAUAAAGAUGUAGGAAAUCAGGAGCCUUCCCAUUAAUAAGUGAAUUACAGGCAAAGUUAGAAGUUGCAAAUGCUGAGGCGCUUUCAGAGCGAGAAAAGGCUAAGCAGCUGACCAUGGAAAAUGAAAAACUCAAGUAUCGGAUUUCCCAUCUUGUCCAAGCAGUUAAGGAGGCUGAUCAGAAGUUGGAGUGUGUGAAAAGUAAACGUUGAGAAGUGCUGACUAUUCAGUUUAAAUGUUAUCUAUUCUCCUAGAACCAGAAAUUAUGCGAGUAAGUUUGGAUUUAGGACAGCAAAACUCAGGUAACCUGUAGUUCUAUAGUAACUAGACUUUUGAGAAAAUGUGUUUCGAUUUAUUGUCAGAAUAUACAUCUCAGCUUAUGUGAAUAAUUAGUCUUAGGAAAGUUUGCAGCUUGUGCUUCAGGCAAUAUGGUUCUAAUGCUUAGAGUGCGCCUGAGCUUCAGUAUACUACUAUGGAAUCAUGUUUAUUUUCUUUUUCAUCAUUUCUUUAGUUUGAGUCCGGGCGUGCCAUAUGUUGGGUUUGGCCACUGUUGCUAAUACGUCCAAUCAACGUCAACAGGCCAUGAGAUUGUGAGUUUGGUCCUUGAAGAUUGACAUUCUAGCUGAAUGAUAUACAUUGUUUUUACAUGUUUCUUGUCGACUCUGCAGGCAAGGUGCCUCUAAACAUUUUGACUUGUAUAAUCGUUUGAUGCAUUAUUUCAUCUUGAAGAAAGUUU